CUGGUCCCAGCCCUGCAGGACUGCCCCCCUGGGUGAGGAUUGCCCCUGACUCGCAGCUGGACCGACAGUCAUCACAAGAAAUGAGAACUCAUUGCUGGGACAAUUCUGCCAGAGCUUUGGAAGCAGCAAAGUCUGCACCCUCAAAACCCAGAGGUUGCCCUUGGGAUCACACACAGGUGUUAUCAGGGUCUGAGCCCAAUUACCAGGGCAGAGCAGGACACUGCAAACUGCACAUUUGUGGGUCAGAGAUGGAGGUUGUGUGGCCUCUGCUGCUAACUCACAGCCACUCUUCAAAGCCAGGGUCUCCAGCAAACUACAUACACAGCUCUGUUUCCAUCAGGGUAAGGUUUCUGUGCUUG